rnacentral:rRNA from 1 species
UGAGCCAAGUUUAGGGUUUUCUCAAAACCCAAGCAGUAUUGAACUGAAGAGUUUGAUCAUGGCUCAGAUUGAACGCUGGCGGCAGGCCUAACACAUGCAAGUCGAGCGGAUGAAGGGAGCUUGCUCCUGGAUUCAGCGGCGGACGGGUGAGUAAU